rnacentral:rRNA from 1 species
AGUGAACGCUGGCGGUAGGCCUAACACAUGCAAGUCGAACGGCAGCACAGUAAGAGCUUGCUCUUACGGGUGGCGAGUGGCGGGCGGGGGAGGGGUACAUCGGAAUCUACUUUUUCGUGGGGGAUAACGUAGGGAAACUUACGCUAAUACCGCAGACGACCUACGGGUGAAAGCAUCGGAUCUUCGGACCUUGCGCGAUUGAAUGAGCCGAUGUCGGAUUAGCUAGUUGGCGGGGUAAAGGCCCACCAAGGCGACGAUCCGUAGCUGGUCUGAGAGGAUGAUCAGCCACACUGGAACUGAGACACGGUCCAGACUCCUACGGGAGGCAGCAGUGGGGAAUAUUGGACAAUGGGCGCAAGCCUGAUCCAGCCAUGCCGCGUGGGUGAAGAAGGUCUUCGGAUUGUAAAGCCCUUUUAUUGGGAAAGAAAAGCAGCAAGUUAAUACCUCGCUGUUUUGACGUUACCAAAAGAAUAAGCACCGGCUAACUUCGUG